ensembl:lincRNA
AGCAGAAGGAGCUAAGGUAGGGGAGAAAGCUACCCAGUCCCUGGUCCUCAUUAGGGAAAACAGCCUGAGGUUUCCUGCUGAUUCCAGAAGUCCUGCAGACAUUGUCCUGCUACUCUGGCAGCCGUAGUAAAUACACGGUUUUCAGAUUUAGACAGAUUUGGGUCUGAAUCCCUGGUCUGCCCCUGCCACCUGUGAGACCCACAGUGAGCCGCAGGACGACUCGGGGACUCCUUUGUGUUGAUCACGGAAGGGCGAUGACAGUAGCACUUACCUCCUGGAGUGGCUGUGAUUGCAUGAGACAACAUGCCCAAUUUGUUUAGCACAGAGCCUGAUAACCAUGGAAUAACACUCCCCACGGUACGGACAUGUGGCCAGUUCAUUGGAGCUGCUUUGAAAUUGAACUCUACGCCUGUUCCGCACUUACGAAGCAUACUUCUAGGCACCCAACGUGGCCCCAGGUAGAAGGAUGGCUUCUCUUGGACCUGUGCUUCGGAGACGGAAUAGGAUGAUUCUUGACUGGCAGGAAGACUGGCGUGAUGUCCCCCGAAAGAGUAAAGGGCCCCUGGCUUAUCCGCUGACCCUAUGAAUUUGGUUCAGCAGUUGUUAGGACUUCUGGAAAGCCUAAUAAAAUAGAGCUUUUGUCCUCAAACUGAGACAGGCUCU